UACGGAGGGUGCAAGCGUUGUCCGGAAUCACUGGGCGUAAAGGGCGCGUAGGCGGCUCAUGAAGGCUGUGGUGAAAGUCCGGGGCUCAACCUCGGAUCGGCCGUGGCGACUCGUGGGCUGGAGCACUGUAGAGGCGGGUGGAAUUCCUGGUGUAGCGGUGGAAUGCGCAGAUAUCAGGAGGAACACCAAUAGCGAAGGCAGCUCGCUGGGACGUUACUGACACUGAGGCGCGAAAGCGUGGGGAGCGAACAGG
rnacentral:rRNA from 1 species